UUUUUCAAUUGUCAUUGCUCUUAAUUUUUAUUGUAAGUGAAACGAAACUUGGUUUCUGGAGUUAUAUUUCCUGAUACCAUAGUGGAAUUAACAUACAAGAGAAAUGGGCGUGCUUGAUGAUGUAAACCCCAAUAAAGGGCCGAAAAUCCUAUAUAUGAUUUGCUUAUUAUGCCUACAACUAAGUUUGGCUCUGUGGGUUUUUGUUAAAUUGAACUGUUCUCGGGAUUAUGAUUUUUUAUUCACAUAUAAACCUUUGCAGGCGAAAGCAGAAGUAGUUUUCAAGAUGCCAGAAUCUAACUCAACUCUGAAUUUGGAAGACGUCCAAGGGCUUGUAACGUGGGUGCUUGCUGAAGGAUUCAUGCCAUCAUGGGUAUUUAUCAAGAACAAGCCUCUAAUUCCAAAAGUGGCUUUGCUUUUCAUACCUGGCCUGGAUGCAGCGUUAUACUUAUCACAGUCUAAGUUACUUCGUAGUUUUAAAGAAUUCUGUGGCAAUCCAACGGCACUUUUGGCUCUUAGCUGUAUAUCAGAUAGUAUGCGGACAAUUGAUGCACUUUUAACAUGCAAGACAAAAAGAAAGAGAGAUGGAGUUGAUUCAGUUUUGAGGAAAUCUAUCAAGAUAUCUGAACAAGAAGCAAAAGAUUCUGGUACAGGGGAUUUAUCAUCAGUGGAAUUCAUGAAAGAUCUACCUUUCCCACUAACGUAUUACACACUUACGGCUAGACAAUUGGAAGAAAAUGGAUAUUGUAUCAAUCAACCAGGUUUUCUUCAUACCCUUCCUGCACCUUCAGGUUCUUCACCCUAUGAUAUACUGGCACUGGAUUGUGAAAUGUGUAUCACAAAUGAGGGCUUUGAGCUGACAAGAGUAACCAUGGUGGAUAUCAAAGGACAGGUGGUAUUGGAUAAAUUGGUUAAACCAUCAAAUGUCAUCAUUGACUACAAUAC
rnacentral:misc_RNA from 1 species